AGAACGAACGCUGGCGGCAGGCCUAACACAUGCAAGUCGAACGCUCGUAGCAAUACGAGAGUGGCAGACGGGUGAGUAACACGUGGGAACCUUCCCUAUGGUUCGGAAUAGCUCAGGGAAACUUGGGGUAAUACCGGAUAAGCCCUUCGGGGGAAAGAUUUAUCGCCAUUGGAUGGGCCCGCGUCGGAUUAGCUAGUUGGUGAGGUAACGGCUCACCAAGGCAACGAUCCGUAGCUGGUCUGAGAGGAUGAUCAGCCACACUGGGACUGAGACACGGCCCAGACUCCUACGGGAGGCAGCAGUGGGGAAUAUUGGACAAUGGGCGCAAGCCUGAUCCAGCCAUGCCGCGUGAGUGACGAAGGUCUUCGGAUUGUAAAACUCUUUUGGCGGGGACGAUAAUGACGGUACCCGCAGAAUAAGCCCGGCCAACUUCGUGCCAGCAGCCGC
rnacentral:rRNA from 1 species